GAAAAGUAGAGCCCUGAGAGAGGGACUAGGUCCUGAAGACUUCAUUUAAGACACAGGAUCCAGCCUUGCUUGAUGUCAUUACUCCUAGACUUUCACGUACAAGAGCCAAAAAAUUGUCUUUUCUUCCCCCUUAACCCAGGGCUCCUGCAACCAAAAGAACACUUGACUGUGGCAUCUUUCCAGCCUCCUGUUAGCAGCUAGGUAAGGUGCCCCCAUGGCAAGGAGCUGCGGGCAGCCUCAAGAAACUGGGUGGCCUCUUAGGACCUGAGGGCAGCCUCCAACAAGCAAGCAGCAAACCUCUGGGGCCUUCUGUUCUACAACUGCAAGGAAAUAAAUUCUGCCAACAGCCUGAAUGAGCACGGAAGUGAACUCUUUCUCAGUCGAGCCUCUGAAUGAGAACACAGUUCAACUCAUGCCUUGACUGCAGCUUGUGAGAGUCUGAGAAGAGGACCAGGAGCAACUCUAGUUGACUCUCCACUCCCACGCUGCAGGAAUUGACGGCGCACAGGGAACAGUUUCUACUGCUGUCCUUCCCGUUACCUCCUCCAAUGGGGCUUCAGUCACCACCUCUCUGGAAGGUGAUGAUGGUCGGCAGCUCCAUAUCGCCAGCCGUGACUCUGCCCUGAAAUCUAGCCCAAGGGAGCCAACUGCCUGUUUUGUCAGGACUCAUGAUCCUGAAGACAAUGAAGAAGAAAUAUGACAGUCGGUCCCGAGUGUGGAAUGAACACUCUGCUCUCCCAGCUGGGGAACUCCGUGAGGACCCACAUAAGCAAUGCAGAAGCAUUGGGAAACACAUGCAAUAACUGGGGCCAUCUGUUUUCUCCUGAAAACUAGUGGUGGGCUGGAUUCUCUGAAGAGUUUCUCAAGGCAUGUUGGACCAGAACAACCUGCUCAGAGAAGAGGCAAGGUCCCUGCCUGGGCCUCUGAGGUGUUGGAGGUGGGGCCAGCCCACCCCCAGGCCGUGAGGCCUGGCUGCUGGAAGGAGGCAGGACCCAGAAGGUUGCUGCCAUCCUGGGGUGUCUGAGUCCCCAUGUGGCCCAGCUGUGUUCCUGCUGGCCCGGCAUCCACACCCUUGUCUCUGGAUGUGCGGUGGGAGAAUUGUCUUUCUCCACGAACAGGCCAGGUGGUUCCUGGGAUUGACCUCUCUCUCCCAGGUGUGGACAAGCAGAGCAUCCUACGUCCCCAGCUACAGCGACUGGCUGAUAUGGUUUGGCUGUGUCCCCACCCAAAGCUCAUCUUGAAUUCCCACGUGUUGUGGGAGGGACCCAGUGGGAGGUAAUUGAAUCAUGGGGGCAGGUCUUUCCUGUGCUGUUCUCAUGAUAGUGAGUAAAUCUCACAAGAUCUAAUGGUUUUAUAAGGAGGCUGCACAAGCUCUUUCUCUGCCUGCUGCCAACCAUGUAAGAUGUGACUUGCUCCUCCUUUGCCUUCCACCAUGAUUAUGAGGCUUCUCCUGCCACAUGGAACUGUGAGUCCAUUAAAAUC
rnacentral:lncRNA from 1 species